UACAGAGGGUGCAAGCGUUAAUCGGAGUUACUGGGCGUAAAGGGCGCGUAGGCGGUUGUAUAAGUUAGAUGUGAAAUCCCUGGGCUUAACCUAGGAACUGCAUCUGAUACUGUAUGACUAGAGUAUUGUAGAGGGUAGUGGAAUUUCCGGAGUAGCGGUGAAAUGCGUAGAGAUCGGAAGGAACACCAGUGGCGAAGGCGGCUACCUGGACAAAUACUGACGCUGAGGCGCGAGAGCGUGGGGAGCAAACAGG
rnacentral:rRNA from 1 species